GCCCCAGUAACGGCGAGUGAAGCGGCAACAGCUCAAAUUUGAAAUCUGGGCCCCUCCGCGGGGUCCCGAGUUGUAAUUUGCAGAGGAUGCUUCUGGCGCGGCGCCUUCCGAGUUCCCUGGAACGGGACGCCACAGAGGGUGAGAGCCCCGUCCGGUCGGACGCCCAGCCUGUGUGAAGCACCUUCGACGAGUCGGGUAGUUUGGGAAUGCUGCCCUAAAUGGGAGGUAUAUGUCUUCUAAAGCUAAAUACCGGCCAGAGACCGAUAGCGCACAAGUAGAGUGAUCGAAAGAUGAAAAGCACUUUGAAAAGAGGGUUAAACAGUACGUGAAAUUGUUGAAAGGGAAGCGCUCGUGACCAGACUUGGGCCCGGGGGAUCACCCGGCGUUCUCUCGCCGGGGCACUUCGCCGGCUGCCCAGGCCAGCAUCAGUUCGCGGCGGGGGACAAAGGCCUCGGGAACGUGGCUCCCUACGGGGAGUGUUACAGCCCGCUGCGCAAUGCCCUGCCGCGGACUGAGGUUCGCGCUUCCGCAAGGAUGCUGGCGUAAUGGUCAUCAGCGACCCGUCUUGAAACACGGACCAAGGAGUCGUCUUCGUAUGCGAGUGUUCGGGUGUCAAACCCCUACGCGGAAUGAAAGUGAACGCAGGUGAGAGCUCCGGCGCAUCACCGACCGAUCCUGAUGUUCUCGGAUGGAUUUGAGUAGGAGCAUACGGGGCCGGACCCGAAAGAAGGUGAACUAUGCCUGUAUAGGGUGAAGCCAGAGGAAACUCUGGUGGAGGCUCGCAGCGGUUCUGACGUGCAAAUCGAUCGUCAAAUAUGGGCAUGGGGGCGAAAGACUAAUCGAACCUUCUAGUAGCUGGUUUC
rnacentral:rRNA from 1 species